rnacentral:pre_miRNA from 1 species
UAUGGCUUUUUAUUCCUACGUGAUCGUAACGCACGCUGAGCCUCAUGUAGGGAGGAAAGCCAUGCA